rnacentral:lncRNA from 1 species
GCCUAUUACCCUUAGAAUCAGUGUUCUUGUUAGAAUGAUAAAAAGGAAUUAUUUCUUUGCAAAUUCCUUUUAAGAUCUAUUGUUACUUUAGGCUUAAUAUAAGUUAAAAAGGGUUGUUGAUAUUCAUCUACUGUGAAUUUCCUUAGUAGUACUGCUUGCUGUACUAAGAGCUGGAGAGAAAAGACACAUGAAAAAAAAUGAGAAUCCAGAAGAAAAAAUGGAAGGGAGUAAUAAGUGUGCAUUACUCAGACUUUAUAUAAAAGCUAGUAAUGUAAUUUUGAAGUUUUUUCUUUCAAUCUUCUAUUUUGGAUAUGUUAAUUUGUUUCAAUUAUCAUUUUAGGAAAAACAUUUUGUAGCUGUAAGAUAAGGAUAAUGUCAUAUUUCCUUACAAUUGAAUUACAAAUAAUUGAAUCUUAAUGGUUUUAAAUUAGUAUUUAUGUUGCAAGAAAUUUGUUUUACUUCUGUAAUUUGCUAAACUGAUGCUUUGUGGAAACAGUUUGAAUACCUUAAGAAACACUUGGAUGAACUGACUUCAAAAAAUAGACACUUGGAAUAUAUGAAUACAAAACUUAAAGAAGAAAUUAUGGAAUGUGAGGAGCUGGAUAUUGAAGAUAAUUUAGAAAGAUCGAAAUUAAAAUACAAUCGGGUGGAACCAUAUACACCAAAGAUUAAAGUACAAGUGAAGCAGGAGACUGAAGAACAAAAUGAUCUUUUCUUACAGAUUCAAGACCUGGAAGCUGAAGUCUUAAAAAUGAAAAUCUCACAUCAAGAGACUAAAGCAAAACUAGAGAGAUGCAAAAAGGAUUAUUCUCAAGAAUAUAGGUAUACCUAAACACAGACAGGAAGAACAAAGUACUUAAACCUAGAUUGUUUUUAAAUUUUUCCAUUUGGGUCAAAGGACCCAAAGUGAAAACAUUUCUAGUCAUAUGAAAAGGUUUUCCAAAUCACUAUUAAGCAGAGAAAUGCAAAUUAAGACAAUUUUAAGAUACCACUGCAUACCUGUCAGAUUGGCUAACAUGACAGAAAACAAUAAUGACCAAUGUUGGAGGGGAUGUGGGAAAACUGGGACACUGAUCCAUUGUUGGGAACUGUGAAUGGAUCUAGUCAUUCUGCAGAGCAAU